rnacentral:rRNA from 1 species
AUUGAACGCUGGCGGCAUGCCUUGCACAUGCAAGUCGAACGGCAGCACGGGUGCUUGCACCUGGUGGCGAGUGGCGGACGGGUGAGUAAUAUAUCGGAACGUACCUUAUUGUGGGGAUAACGCAGCGAAAGCUGUGCUAAUACCGCAUAAUCCCUAAGGGGGAAAGCGGGGGACCGUAAGGCCUCGCGCAAUUAGAGCGGCCGAUACCUGAUUAGCUAGUUGGUGAGGUAAAGGCUCACCAAGGCAACGAUCAGUAGCUGGUCUGAGAGGACGAUCAGCCACACUGGGACUGAGACACGGCCCAGACUCCUACGGGAGGCAGCAGUGGGGAAUUUUGGACAAUGGGGGCAACCCUGAUCCAGCAAUGCCGCGUGAGUGAAGAAGGCCUUCGGGUUGUAAAGCUCUUUUGUCAGGGAAGAAACAGCAGCUCUAACACAGUUUGCGAAUGACGGUACCUGAAGAAUAAGCACUGGCUAACUACGUGCCAGCAGCCGCCGUAA